UACGGGGGGGGCAAGCGUUGUUCGGAAUUACUGGGCGUAAAGGGCUCGUAGGUGGCCAACUAAGUCAGACGUGAAAUCCCUCGGCUUAACCGGGGAACUGCAUCUGAUACUGGAUGGCUUGAGUUUGGGAGAGGGAUGCGGAAUUCCAGGUGUAGCGGUGAAAUGCGUAGAUAUCAGGAGGAACACCGGUGGCGAAGGCGGGUCUCUGGGCCGAUACUGACGCUGAGGAGCGAAAGCGUGGGGAGCGAACAGG
rnacentral:rRNA from 1 species